CCUACGGGCGGCAGCAGUGAGGAAUAUUGGUCAAUGGGCGCGAGCCUGAACCAGCCAAGUCGCGUGAGGGAGGACGGCCCUACGGGUUGUAAACCUCUUUUGCCGGGGAGCAACGGGCGUCACGUGUGGCGCCACUGAGAGUACCCGGAGAAAAAGCAUCGGCUAACUCCGUGCCAGCAGCCGCGGUAAUACGGAGGAUGCGAGAGUUAUCCGUCUUUAUUGGGUUUACAGGGUGCGGCGGCGGCGCGGUAAGUCAAGGGUCAAAUUGAGGGGCUCAAACCCUGCCCGUCAUUGAAACUGGCGCUCUUGAGUGGAAGAGAGGUAUGCGGAAUGCGUGGUGUAGCGGUGAAAUGCAUAGAUAUCACGCAGAACCCCGAUUGCGAAGGCAGCAUGCCGGCUUCCGACUGACGCUGAAGCACGAAAGCGUGGGGAUCGAACAGGAUUAGAUACCCCAGUAGUC
rnacentral:rRNA from 1 species